rnacentral:tRNA from 2 species
UGUAAAUAGGUGUAAUGAAGCACAGAAAAUUUUGAUUUUUACGGGCAAGUUUAAUCCUUGAUUUUACAA